UACGAAGGGGGCGAGCGUUGUUCGGAAUCACUGGGCGUAAAGGGCGCGUAGGCGGCCCCUCUUGUCGCGUGUGAAAGCCCCGGGCUCAACCUGGGAACGGCGCGCGAGACGGGAGGGCUGGAGUUCGGGAGAGGAGCGUGGAGUUCCCAGUGUAGAGGUGAAAUUCGUAGAUAUUGGGAAGAACACUGGUGGCGAAGGCGGCGCUCUGGACCGAGACUGACGCUGAGGCGCGAAAGCGUGGGGAGCAAACAGG
rnacentral:rRNA from 1 species